ACAACAGGUGGAGCCUGCGGUUUAAUCGGACUCAACGCCGGGAAACUCACCAGAUAAGACAGCUGAAUGAUAGUCGGGCUGAAGACUCUACUUGACUAGCUGAGAGGAGGUGCAUGGCCGUCGUCAGUUCGUACUGUGAAGCAUCCUGUUAAGUCAGGCAACGAGCGAGACCCACGCCAACAGUUGCCAGCUCGUCCUCCGGGAUGGUGGGGACACUGUUGGGACCGCUCUGCUAAAGAGAGGAAGGAAUGGGCAACGGUAGGUCAGCAUGCCCCGAAUUAUCUGGGCUACACGCGGGCUACAAUGGGUGGGACAAUGGGUAUCGACACCGAAAGGUGAAGGCAAUCUCCUAAACCCAUCCGUAGUUCGGAUUGUGGGCUGCAACUCGCCCACAUGAAGCUGGAAUCUGUAGUAAUCGUGUCUCAAAAUGGCACGGUGAAUAUGUCCCUGCUCCUU
rnacentral:rRNA from 1 species